UACGUAGGCAGCAAGCGUUGUUCGGAAUUACUGGGCGUAAAGAGUGUGUAGGCGGUGCUCUAAGUUCGGUGUGAAAUCUCCCGGCUCAACUGGGAGGGUGCGCCGGAAACUGGGGUGCUGGAGCGCGGGAGAGGAAAGCGGAAUUCCUGGUGUAGCGGUGAAAUGCGUAGAUAUCAGGAGGAACACCGGCGGUGUAGACGGCUUUCUGGACCGUAGCUGACGCUGAGACACGAAAGCGUGGGUAGCAAACAGG
rnacentral:rRNA from 2 species